rnacentral:rRNA from 1 species
GACGAACGCUGGCGGCGUGCCUAAUACAUGCAAGUAGAACGCUGAAGGAGGAGCUUGCUUCUCUGGCUGAGUUGCGAACGGGUGAGUAACGCGUAGGUAACCUGCCUUGUAGCGGGGGAUAACUAUUGGAAACGAUAGCUAAUACCGCAUAAGAGUAGAUGUUGCAUGACAUUUGCUUAAAAGGUGCAAUUGCAUCACUACCAGAUGGACCUGCGUUGUAUUAGCUAGUUGGUGGGGUAACGGCUUACCAAGGCGACGAUACAUAGCCGACCUGAGAGGGUGAUCGGCCACACUGGGACUGAGACACGGCCCAGACUCCUACGGGAGGCAGCAGUAGGGAAUCUUCGGCAAUGGACGGAAGUCUGACCGAGCAACGCCGCGGGAGUGAAGAAGGGUUUCGGAUCGUAAAGCUCUGUUGUAAGAGAAGAAAGAGUGUGAGAGUGGAAAGUUCACACUGUGACGGUAUCUUAACAGAAAGGGACGGCUAACUACGUG